AUGAACCGAGAUGCGCGUCUCGAGGCAGCGCUUCCGAGGGUGCCCGGGAGGCGCGUGACAGCCGCGCACCGCGCGCUUCCCCGGGGGCCGCGGACUCCCCGUCCGCCCCGGGCGUGGGCGAGCGACCGCGACCCGCUGCCCCCCGGGCGCCGCCCCCCAUAUCACCUCGGGGCUGCACCUGGAGCUCCCGCGAUGCCCGCCCCCCGCCGGGGCGCCCGCCCACGCUGGCUCCUCCGGUUCUGGAGAGUUGUGGGCAGAACAAAAGCGAACCCGAUUGCUUCUCCGAAGGCGCGCGCAGCCCGGGAGGAGGCUGGGGGGGCCGGCCCGGGCCGGGGUGCGGGGUUAGACCCGAUCCGCGGCCCGCGGCCGCCCGCCCUCCCGGCAGAUGCAGGCUGCAGGUUGCAGCGCCGGGGACAGCGCCGGGGACAGCGGCGGGGCUCGCUCCUUCCCUCCCUCCCCGCCCUCUCGGGCGCCCCGAGCCCCCGCCCUGGGGUCGCAGGGGCGGAGAUGGGCACCUGGAUCGGUGGGGCGGGAGGGCGGGCGGGGGGGCGACAUACUAACCCUCGAAGGCAGCGCGAAGGAGGCCGGAGGGGAAGAUGCUGCGGACUGGGGCGGACCCCACCGCCGAGCUCCGAAUUUGAACUCGCCUGCGAACCACCCCUGGGCGCCCCCAAACGCGCCACACCGCCCGCGGGGGUGGGGUCCCCUCAACGGCGCCCGGUCCCUAAAUCCUCCGCCCUCUGCACCCCUCGGGGAUGCCCAACCGCAACCUUCCCGUCGGGACCGCAGAUCCAGGGGCGGCCCGGGCGCGGGGGCGGGGGACCGGGUCCCGGAGGCGGCCACGCCGGCCCCGCGGGAGGCACCGGCGCGCAAACUCGCGGUUCGGAAUCCGCUUGCUUCCCGGGUCGGGGUUUUCCCCCAGGUGAGGCGGGGGCGCGGGGACAGCGGGGAAGGAGCGUUUCUGCUUUUCGCUCGGCUUCUCCGGGGCCCCCGAACUCCGAGAGGCGCAGGCACCGGGAGAAGAAAGGAAGCUGA
rnacentral:lncRNA from 12 species